GCAAACUUGGUCAUUUAGAGGAAGUAAAAGUCGUAACAAGGUUUCCGUAGGUGAACCUGCGGAAGGAUCAUUAGUGAAUUUUGUUUUCGGGAUGUGUAAAAACUCCUGGAAAUCUUUAUUCUCCAUAUGCCCACGUUGAAAUUGAGUAGUCGGCCGGGACUGGCAACAACAACAUCUGUUUGUUUGCCGUCGUGGUCGAGGUUAGCCCAAGCCCGUGUGUUUGUGUGUGUGUGUCUCUCUCUCCACUGAAAUAAGUGGAGGAGCAGCCCGCUCCCGCACUCGCACUGUUUGGCGCGCCGAAUUACCCAAUUUUUUUCAGAGACAACUGUUAAAAUUAGAAUGUGUAAUCUUUAUUAAACAAUUUAAAACUUUCAGUGACGGAUCUCUUGGCUCUCGCAUCGAUGAAGAACGCAGC
rnacentral:misc_RNA from 1 species